rnacentral:lncRNA from 1 species
GCCUGAAGAAAAGCAAGGAGACCAGUGUGAUUGAACUGUAGAAUACGUUAAACAGAGUAUUAGUAAAUAAGUUUAGAAAGAUAGGCAGGAGUUAGAUUAUGAAGGUCUUUUCUUAAUUAUUUUUUCCCAUUGUUUCUUGUCACCCUCCCCUCUUUCCUCCCCCCUCCCAGAGUUGACAAGCAAUUUCACUGGGUUAUACUUGUUAUUAUCACUAAAAUCCUGUUUCCAUAUUAGUCAUUUUUAUAAUAAAGUAAUCUUUGAAAACCAAAACCCAAAUCAUAUAUCUAUACAAACAAGUGAUAAAUCAUGUUUCUUUCUGUGUUUUGUAUUAGGUAGUUGUUCCUUUAUGGAUUAUGGUAAUGAGGAAUCAGAUCUGCCUCAUCCUCCCUUUUGUCUCCCUCCUCCCUUCUCCCUCCCACUUCAGCUACUCUCUUCAGUUGGUGACAAAUCAGUUCUGAAGAAGAAAAGAGAGUCCAGGGGAGGAAAAAGUGCAGAUAAGAAGACAACUUUAAAAGAAUGAACCAAUGAAACAUAGGUGGAGCCAUAUUCUCUUGAGCUGCUCUCCACAACGUAGAAGGAAUCAAGACAUCAGUAUUUAGAGCUAAAGCAAGCAGAAGACCCCAAAGCAGACUAUAGAGGAGGAGGACUCAGAAGAGGUCUGGAAUGUUUGAUAACUACUUUUGCUGUGCCCUAGUUAGGACAAAGUCUGUUAGUCAACUAUCCAAUCUGUCACCAGGUCCACAUGUAAUCUUUUUAUUUUAAGGAAAAAUUCUUAAGAAUUCAAUAUAACUUCCUCAUUUUAC